rnacentral:rRNA from 1 species
GAGGAAAGCUGGAGGCGUGCCUAAUACAUGCAAGUCGAGCGAACAGACGAGGAGCUUGCUCCUCUGACGUUAGCGGCGGACGGGUGAGUAACACGUGGAUAACCUACCUAUAAGACUGGGAUAACUUCGGGAAACCGGAGCUAAUACCGGAUAAUAUAUUGAACCGCAUGGUUCAAUAGUGAAAGACGGUUUUGCUGUCACUUAUAGAUGGAUCCGCGCCGCAUUAGCUAGUUGGUAAGGUAACGGCUUACCAAGGCAACGAUGCGUAGCCGACCUGAGAGGGUGAUCGGCCACACUGGAACUGAGACACGGUCCAGACUCCUACGGGAGGCAGCAGUAGGGAAUCUUCCGCAAUGGGCGAAAGCUUGACGGAGCAACGCCGCGUGAGUGAUGAAGGUCUUCGGAUCGUAAAACUCUGUUAUUAGGGAAGAACAAAUGUGUAAGUAACUAUGCACGUCUUGACGGUACCUAAUCAGAAAGCCACGGCUAACUACGUG